rnacentral:misc_RNA from 1 species
AACGCACAUUGCGCCUCCUGGCAUUCCGGGAGGCACGCCUGUUCGAGCGCCAUUUCAAACCCCAAGCUCAGCUUGAUGUUGGACGAUGUCUUCUGUGAGGAAGACAGGUCUGGAAGGUGUUGGGCGCCGCCGGCGGACCACGAGCGUAGCAAAAACAAGGUUCGCUUGUGAUUGGUUCCGACCGGUGGUGUGUCAAGGAGAGGUAUUGGACUGGCCGGUCUCUCGGUAAGACGAGAGGGUGAGCAGUCGAUAUUUCGAUAUACCAAAAGUUUGGCCUCGGAUCAGGCGGGGAUACCCGCUGAACUUAA